GAUGAACGCUGGCGGCGUGCCUAAUACAUGCAAGUCGAGCGAACAGACGAGGAGCUUGCUCCUCUGACGUUAGCGGCGGACGGGUGAGUAACACGUGGAUAACCUACCUAUAAGACUGGGAUAACUUCGGGAAACCGGAGCUAAUACCGGAUAAUAUAUUGAACCGCAUGGUUCAAUAGUGAAAGACGGUUUUGCUGUCACUUAUAGAUGGAUCCGCGCCGCAUUAGCUAGUUGGUAAGGUAACGGCUUACCAAGGCGACGAUGCGUAGCCGACCUGAGAGGGUGAUCGGCCAAACUGGAACUGAGACACGGUCAAGACUCCUACGGGAGGCAGCAGUAGGGAAUCUUCCGCAAUGGGCGAAAGCCUGACGGAGCAACGCCGCGUGAGUGAUGAAGGUCUUCGGAUCGUAAAACUCUGUUAUUAGGGAAGAACAAAUGUGUAAGUAACUAUGCACGUCUUGACGGUACCUAAUCAGAAAGCCACGGCUAACUACGUG
rnacentral:rRNA from 1 species